rnacentral:rRNA from 1 species
CCUACGGGAGGCAGCAGUAGGGAAUAUUGCGCAAUGGAGGAAACUCUGACGCAGCGACGCCGCGUGGGUGAUGAAGGCCUUCGGGUCGUAAAGCCCUGUCGGAAGGGAAGAAAAACCUAGGGGAUAAUACCCCCUAGGCUUGACGGUACCUUCAGAGGAAGCACCGGCUAACUACGUGCCAGCAGCCGCGGUAAUACGUAGGGUGCUAGCGUUGUUCGGAAUCAUUGGGCGUAAAGCGCGUGUAGGCGGUCAGAUAAGUCUGGUGUGAAAGCCCUGGGCUCAACCGAGGAAGUGCAUCAGAAACUAUCUGACUAGAAGACGGUAGAGGAAGGUGGAAUUCCAAGUGUAGAGGUGAAAUUCGUAGAUAUUUGGAGGAAUACCGGUGGCGAAGGCGGCCUUCUGGGCCGAUCUUGACGCUGAGACGCGAAAGCGUGGGGAGC